rnacentral:rRNA from 1 species
UACGUAGGGUGCAAGCGUUGUCCGGAAUUAUUGGGCGUAAAGCGCGUGUAGGCGGCCUUGCAAGUCGGGUGUGAAAGCCCUCAGCUCAACUGAGGAAGUGCGCCCGAAACUGCAGAGCUUGAGUGCCGGAGAGGGUGGCGGAAUUCCCCAAGUAGAGGUGAAAUUCGUAGAUAUGGGGAGGAACACCGGUGGCGAAGGCGGCCACCUGGACGGUAACUGACGCUGAGACGCGAAAGCGUGGGGAGCAAACAGG